UGCAAGUUCGAGCGGCAGCGCGGGGCAACCUGGCGGCGAGCGGCGAACGGGUGAGUAAUGUAUCGGAACGUACCCAGUCGUGGGGGAUAACUAUCCGAAAGGAUAGCUAAUACCGCAUACGUCCUGAGGGAGAAAGCGGGGGACCUGCAAGGGCCUCGCGCGAUUGGAGCGGCCGAUAUCGGAUUAGCUAGUUGGUGAGGUAAAGGCUCACCAAGGCGACGAUCCGUAGCUGGUCUGAGAGGACGACCAGCCACACUGGAACUGAGACACGGUCCAGACUCCUACGGGAGGCAGCAGUGGGGAAUUUUGGACAAUGGGGGCAACCCUGAUCCAGCCAUUCCGCGUGAGUGAAGAAGGCCUUCGGGUUGUAAAGCUCUUUCAGCAGGAACGAAACGGUGGCCCCUAAUACGGGCUACUAAUGACGGUACCUGAAGAAGAAGCACCGGCUAACUACGUGCCAGCAGCCGCGGUAAUAC
rnacentral:rRNA from 1 species